UCUUCCCUCCCUCCUACUCUUCUUCUCUCCCUCCUACUCUUCUUCCCUCCCUCCUACUCUUCUUCUCUCCCUCCUACUCUUCUUCUCUCCCUCCUUCUCUUCUUCUCUCCCUACUACUCUUCUUCCCUCCCUCCUACUCUUCUUCUCUCCCUCCUACUCUUCUUCCCUCCCUCCAACUAUUCUUCCCUCCCUCCUUCGCUUCUCCUUCCCUCCUUCAGGCUACUACAACCUUCAACAUCUGUGUCUCUUGUCAAAACCUAAAUCUCUCUGGUCUGAACCUAGAGAUGUGUAGUGCUCUACUAAACAGAUGCUCUGACAGGAAUGUUCUUUCUGCUCAGUGUACUUUAAGUGAACCGUGAGAGGGCUGACAGAGCUAUGGAAUAAUUGGUAGAGGAUUUAUGCUGAGAUUUUGGACCACAGAUUUGUAAUGAACAGUCACUGUACUGUACUGUACCGUAGCUGUUUAAUACAGUAGCACUCACGUGUGACCAAAUGCUAUCAUAGACAAAACGCCAAGUCAGUACUUUUUCUGUUUACAAUUAUUCCAAAAAACAUUAAGUUGUUCAUACUGAGCAGUUCAGCAUAUAAUUAUAUCAUAGUAUGUAAUGUAUUUCAAACCAGAUUUUCCAUCCAGUAAAUUGCUAUUAUUACUGGAAUUUUAUGCCAGUUGGAAGUUUUGAAACAAAAUAUAUUUGUUUACGUCCCAAACUGCACUUUAUUCCCUGCAUGGUGCACUACUGUUGACCAAAGCCCUAUGGGCCCUGUUCAGAAGGGCACUAUAUCAGGAAAAGGGUGGGAUUUGUGACACAAACUCUAUUUCAGUCAUAGUAGUACGGGCAGCUCUGGUUAGCCUUAGUAUUAUGGUACAUCUGUAUUGGUCUCUCUAGGUACCAGGGUAGUAUGGUCUGUCUGUAUUGGUCUCUCUAGGUACCAGGGUAGUAUGGUCUGUCUGUAUUGGUCUCUCUAGGUACCAGGGUAGUAUGGUCUGUCUGUAUUGGUCUGUCUAGGUACCAGGGUAGUAUGGUCUGUCUGUAUUGGUCUCUCUAGGUACCAGGGUAGUAUGGUCUGUCUGUAUUGGUCUCUCUAGGUACCAGGGUAGUAUGGUCUGUCUGUAUUGGUCUCUCUAGGUACCAGGGUAGUAUGGUCUGUCUGUAUUGGUCUGUCUAGGUACCAGGGUAGUAUGGUCUGUCUGUAUUGGUCUGUCUAGGUACCAGGGUAGUAUGGUCUGUCUGUAUUGGUCUCUCUAGGUACCAGGGUAGUAUGGUCUGUCUGUAUUGGUCUCUCUAGGUACCAGGGUAGUAUGGUCUGUCUGUAUUGGUCUGUCUAGGUACCAGGGUAAGGGUGGAGACCAGGAUAAGUUCAGGGCAGACGCUUGAAGGGAGGUUCUCCUCUCUUGUUCUAUGAAAGCAGAAGCCUGGAAUACACCCUGAUCUGUUGUUUUAUCAGUGAAAAUACACAAGUGUAAUUAGAGUGAUAUUCAGCUCAAAUAUCAGCUCAAAUUCCAGGUUUGAAAACCAAAGUGUUCAUUUGCAAAUAAAGGGAAUUGUGUACAAGUGCAAUGGGACUUUAUCUAGCUGGGUUAUAUUUGAAAGGGUAUGUUAUGCUGUGAGGAAAAUAUGUUUUUCAGAGACAUUUAUAUUGUAUGCAGUGAGUUGGUGAGGAAAGGGGCAGCCAGGCGUGGGGUGAUUGUGACUUUGACCCCCAUUCCUUGUCAGAGUUCAAACGACAACCCAAUGCUGUUGAAUGGGUUGGAAACAUAGGCUACAUCCUAAAUGGCAGCCUAGUCCCUAUAUAGUGCACUACUUUAGAGCAGAGCCCUAUGGCAUCCUAUUCCUUAUAUAUAGUGCACUACUUUAGACAGAGCCCUUUGGCACCCUAUUCCCUAUAUAGUGCACUACUUUAGACCAGCGCUCUAUGGCACCCUAUUCCCUAUAUAGUGCACUACUUUAGACCAGAGCCCUAUAGCACCCUAUUCCCUAUAUAGUGCACUACUUUGGACCAGGACCCAAGUAUAGAGUGUCAUUUGGUAUGCAACUACACACAGCCCUAAUCUGAAGUAUACAAAACCAAUUAGGCUUUAUAUAGAUGGGUUCCACUGGGAUAAUGUUGUGUAUGGUUACAGCGGGUAAUGUUGUGUAUGGUUACAAGGGGUAAUGUUGUGUAUGGUUACAGGGGGUAAUGCUGUGUAUGGUUACAGUGGGUAAUGUUGUGUAUGGUUACAGGGGGUAAUGUUGUGUAUGGUUACAAGGGGUAAUGUUGUAUGGUUACAGGGGGUAAUGUCGUGUAUUGUUACAGGGGGUAAUGCUGUGUAUGGUUACAGUGGGUAAUGUAGUGUAUGGUUACAGGGGGUAAUGUUGUGUAUGGUUACAAGGGGUAAUGUUGUAUGGUUACAGGGGGUAAUGUCGUGUAUUGUUACAGGGGGUAAUGCUGUGUAUGGUCACAGCGGGUAAUGUAGUGUAUGGUUACAGGGAGUAAUGUUGUGUAUGAUUACAAGGGGUAAUGUUGUGUAUGGUUACAGGGAGUAAUGCUGUGUAUGGUCACAGCGGGUAAUGUAGUGUAUGGUUACAGCGGGUAAUGUAGUGUAAGGUUAUCAGGGAUACUGUUGUGUAUGGUUAAAGGGGGUAAGGACGUGUAUGGUUACAGGGAGUAAUGUUGUAUGGCUACAGGGGGUAAUGUUGUAUGGUUACAGUGGGUAAUGUUGUAUGGUUACAGGGGGUAAUGUUGUAUGGUUACAAGGGGUAAUGUUGUAAAGGAAACAUAGUACUACCAUGAGUUGGUGGGGAGGCCAUGGUGGUUAUUGCGUGAGUUACUUUGACCCCCGUCCCUUUAAGAGAUCAAACAACGACAUGAGAUAAUUCAUCUCCUAGUCCAAUUCAGUGGGAGUUCCAACUUUACUCUAUAUCAGUUUCUGUUCUGUCCCUAGUUCUCUUUCUGUCGUAGAAAGACGUACUUGUUGUUGCAGUCUUUUAUGGGCGAUGCCACCACCCUUUCUUUUUUAGGACCGUAUGUUUUUAAUGUUGUAAUUAUGAAACGAUAAAGACAAAACAUGUUAUGUCAAAAUGUAGUAUACUUAUAAAAAAAUGUUUAACUAAAAUGUAAUCUAUGUAAUCCCCAAAGGGCCAUAAAUAUUAACUAGUGAUGCUACAUAUUCACAGAAAGGUUCAAAUCUCACCUUUCUGGUAAAAAAAUAGUUGUAAAUUGCUGAGGUGUAGUCACUUUAAGACACAAGCUCAAGUAUACAGUACAAAUAUGAUACAUAUUUUAUAUUACGUAAUUCCUUUUCAACAAAACUGUAUGAAUAAGUCUUGAAAUGACUUAUAUGCUUUCUAAAUAUAUUAUAAUCAAAUUAUAAAACCUCUAAGUAUAAGAUAGUACCUUCCUUAUAACUGUAAAAUACAUAUUUGUAUGUUUAGUGUUAGAGAAAAUGUGCACAUUUUCUAAAAGUAUUUUCUUUUGUUUAAAACAAGCUCUAGCUUGGCCUUCCUGAACUCGUUAGUAACUCGCCUUUCAUCUCACAUUCAUAUGACAAAUCUGUGAAAAAACAACGUUGUUUUUUUUGUUGUUUAAAAUCUAUGAAUUAUUUUAGAUGAAUGGCUGUAAAUCAAUCUCUGAUGAAACCACUCUCUACUGCUGUGCUACGAUGUCAGGAUUUCAGUCAUGUGUUUUGUCAGUUGCUGUGACGUAAGGUUCAGCCAGGAGGUGAUGGACAGUCGGAAGAGUGAAUGAAGGACAUCCCAGUGUCAAGUGGUUUCAGAUUUCACAUCCUACAUUGCACAGGCUCAGAAAAUAUACUACUGUGUCCGUGGGAACAAGGACUGUCGUUCACAGCAAGCCAUUUCCAUAUACGUUGUCUACAUAUCGAUUUAUAAGUGAAAAUGUUGGUUGGAACCGGUACCAGAACAACACAGGUCCCCCAAACAGGGGACUUUACAUCAGUAUAGGCCAUAGGUUUACAUUACAGUGUUGUUUUAUUUAAUCCAGAUGAAAAUAAAGUUGUACCUAAAAUA